rnacentral:rRNA from 1 species
CGGCAGCGCGGGGCAACCUGGCGGCGAGUGGCGAACGGGUGGGUAAUAUAUCGGAACGUACCCUGGAGUGGGGGAUAACGUAGCGAAAGUUACGCUAAUACCGCAUACGAUCUAAGGAUGAAAGUGGGGGAUCGCAAGACCUCAUGCUCCUGGAGCGGCCGAUAUCUGAUUAGCUAGUUGGUGGGGUAAAGGCCUACCAAGGCAUCGAUCAGUAGCUGGUCUGAGAGGAUGGCCAGCCACAUUGGGACUGAGAUACGGCCCAGACUCCUACGGGAGGCAGCAGUGGGGAAUUUUGGACAAUGGGCGCAAGCCUGAUCCAGCCAUGCCGCGUGCGGGAAGAAGGCCUUCGGGUUGUAAACCGCUUUUGUCAGGGAAGAAACGGCUCUUACUAAUAUUAGGAGCUAAUGACGGUACCUGAAGAAUAAGCACCGGCUAACUACGUGCCAGCAGCCGCGGUAAUACGUAGGGUGCAAGCGUUAAUCGGAAUUACUGGGCGUAAAGCGUGCGCAGGCGGCUUUGCAAGACAGAUGUGAAAUCCCCGGGCUCAACCUGGGAACUGCAUUUGUGACUGCAUGGCUAGAGUACGGUAGAGGGGGAUGGAAUUCCGCGUGUAGCAGUGAAAUGCGUAGAUAUGCGGAGGAACACCGA